rnacentral:lncRNA from 1 species
GGUUUUUAGUGAAAAAAUCUCUCAACUAAAGAUGAAUCGGAUAAAAACCCCUCAAUUAGUUUUGUAAUUUUAAAACUCCUCAACUAAUUUUCUUUAAUGAAAUAUCCCCUCCGUGAACAGUACCGUCAAAUUAAAACGGACUACAGUUAAAGUCAAAACGGAACGUUUUAUAGUUAUAAAAAACGGCAUGAAUACUGCUCACUCUCGUUAAAACAUAAUCCCAAAUCAAUUUUAGACCAAAAAUUAGGGUUCUUCGUCGAUUUAAAAAUUCCCAAAUCGAUUUUAGACCAAAAAUCAGGAUUCUUUAUCAAUUUCAAAAUCUCAAGUUGAGCUGCGCUAAACUCGGGUAAGUUGAUUUAUGUCGAUUCAGAUCGAUUAAUGCUGAGUUCAUUAUGUCGAUUCUGAUGUUUUGAUGUUUGUGUUUUGGCAAAUAAGCAAUCAAUGAUGGAGAACGACUUAACCGAGAUCAACAAAGACAUUCUUGAUAUGAAGAAAGACAUAAGCGUGAUAAUUACGGUGAUCGAGUGUCUUAGAAAAAAGUUUGAGAAGUAAUAUUUUUUUGUACGUUUGUUUAUGGUGAUUUCGUGUGGUGUAAGCUGGUUUGACUAUUUGAGUAUUUAACAUUUCUGGUUUGAAUUAGAAGCACUAGUACUUGAGUUCAUUUUCAGAAACAAAGAGUUUAGAACCCAUAAAUUUAACGUCAUACAUUUGAAACAAAAGACAAGUUGCAAAAACAAAAUUCAAAGAUUGCACUUGCGUUUAAAGCAGAGUUCAUUAAAAUUCAAAGGUUUCACAAAAUUUUGAAGCAGAGUUUACUAAAUUUCUAAUGUCGUUUACAUUGUCUUUUGCUUCUUUGGUCUUCCUGGAGGCAGAUUCGGUGGCUUAGCUACAGGCUCGAGAUUACACUUGCGUUUGUUGUGCCCUGGUUGUCUGCAAUUGUUUGAAUUAUUUUUGUAUUAGCUCUCUAAUUAAUCGGUGAAGAGAAGACGAAAGAAGAAGAUAUUUAGCUGUAAUUGUAAGGUUUGUGUUACUCCACGUCUCUUUUCUUCUUCCUACUUUGUCUUCUUCUAGGUAAUAUAUUUGGAUUUUUAUUUAAUUAUUAAUUAAAUUAUUGCUUAAAUCUAAGUUUCAACAGUUACUCGUCUAAUGUUUUUUUUUGGUAUAUUAUGUAAGUUUAAACUUUAAUAAUUUCACUUCAUGAAAUUAAUCCUAAGAUCAUCUAGAUUUGAUUU